GAGUUUGAUCGUGGCUCAGGAUGAACGCUGGCGGCGUGCCUAACACAUGCAAGUCGAACGGGCGCGGCGUGCGGCAGGGGCCUCGGCCCCUGCGGCGCCGCGCGAGUGGCGGACGGGUGGAGUAACGCGUGGGCGAACCUGCCCUCGUACUGGGGGAGUAACACCUGGAACAAGGUGCUAAUACCGCAUAAGCGCGCAGUGCCGCAUGGCACGGCGCGGAAAACCCCGGUAGGUACAGGAUGGGCCCGCGUCUGAUUAG
rnacentral:rRNA from 1 species